rnacentral:rRNA from 1 species
GAUGAACGCUAGCGGCAGGCCUAAUACAUGCAAGUCGAACGAGAUUGUUGUAGCAAUAUGACAUGAAAGUGGCGCACGGGUGCGUAACACGUAUGCAAUCUACCUUUGAUAGGGGAAUAGCUUCGAGAAAUCGGAAUUAAUACCCCAUAACAUAUUCGAGUGGCAUCACUUGAUUAUCAAACCUCCGGGGAUCAAAGAUGAGCAUGCGCAACGUUAGCUAGUUGGUGAGGUCACGGCUCACCAAGGCUACGAUGUUUAGGGGGUCUGAGAGGAUGAUCCCCCACACUGGUACUGGGACACGGACCAGAGUCCUACGGGAGGCAGCAGUAGGGAAUAUUGGUCAAUGGAGGCAACUCUGAACCAGCCAUGCCGCGUGCAGGAUGACGGCCCUCUGGGUUGUAAACUGCUUUUAUACGGGAAGAAAAAGAGCUACGUGUAGCUUAUUGACGGUACCGUAAGAAUAAGGAUCGGCUAACUCCGUGCCAGCAGCCGCAGUAAUAC